rnacentral:rRNA from 1 species
UACGAACUGUGCGAACGUUAUUCGGAAUCACUGGGCUUACAGGGUGCGUAGGCGGCUUGUCAAGUAGGGUGUGAAAGCCCCCGGCUCAACCGGGGAAUGGCGCCCUAAACUGGCGAGCUAGAGUGAGAUAGGGGUGUGUGGAACUUCCGGUGGAGCGGUGAAAUGUGUUGAUAUCGGAAGGAACGCCGGUGGCGAAAGCGACACACUGGAUCUUGUCUGACGCUGAGGCACGAAAGCCAGGGGAGCAAACGGG